rnacentral:rRNA from 1 species
GAUGAACGCUGGCGGCGUGCCUAAUACAUGCAAGUCGAGCGAACAGACGAGGAGCUUGCUCCUCUGACGUUAGCGGCGGACAGGUGAGUAACACGUGGAUAACCUACCUAUAAGACUAGGAUAACUUCGGGAAACCGGAGCUAAUACCGGAUAAUAUAUUGAACCGCAUGGUUCAAUAGUGAAAGACGGUUUUGCUGUCACUUAUAGAUGGAUCCGCGCCGCAUUAGCUAGUUGGUAAGGUAACGGCUUACCAAGGCAACGAUGCGUAGCCGACCUGAAAGGGUGAUAGGCCACACUGGAACUGAGACACGGUCCAGACUCCUACGGGAGGCAGCAGUAGGGAAUCUUCAGCAAUGGGCGAAAGCCUGACGGAGCAAAGCCGCGUGAGUGAUGAAGUUCCUCGGAUCGUAAAACUCUGUUAUUAGGGAAGAACAAAUGUGUAAGUAACUAUGCACGUCUUGACGGUACCUAAUCAGAAAGCCACGGCUAACUACGUG